rnacentral:rRNA from 1 species
GCAGACGGGUGAGUAAUGCAUAGGAAUCUACCUAGUAGUAUGGGAUAGCCACUAGAAAUGGUGGGUAAUACUGUAUAAUCCCUGCGGGGGAAAGAUUUAUCGCUAUUAGAUGAGCCUAUGUUAGAUUAGCUAGUUGGUAGGGUAAAGGCCUACCAAGGCGAUGAUCUAUAGCUGGUCUGAGAGGAUGAUCAGCCACACUGGAACUGAGAUACGGUCCAGACUCCUACGGGAGGCAGCAGUGGGGAAUAUUGGACAAUGGGCGCAAGCCUGAUCCAGCUAUGCCGCGUGAGUGAGGAAGGCCUUAGGGUUGUAAAACUCUUUCAGUAGGGAAGAUAAUGACGGUACCUACAGAAGAAGUCCCGGCAAACUCCGUGCCAGCAGCCGCGGUAAUACGGAGGGGGCAAGCGUUGUUCGGAAUUAUUGGGCGUAAAGGGCAUGUAGGCGGUUCGGUAAGUUAAAGGUGAAAUGCCAGGGCUUAACCCUGGAGCUGCUUUAAAUA